rnacentral:hammerhead_ribozyme from 1 species
GUACUGCUGAGGAGUCUGACAAGACGAAACGGCCGUCCAGUGC